CCCCACCCCAGCCCCCCACCACCCCUGGCCUAAGCAGCUACCAUGGCCGAGGUUCCCGGCGCGGCGUUGUCCCAGGCGGGUUGGUAUCUUUCAGAUGAAGGCAUUGAAGCUUGUACAAGUUCUCCUGACAAAGUCAAUGUAAAUGACAUCAUCCCGAUUGCUCUCAAUACAGAUCUGAGAACAAUUGGCAAGAAAUUCCUCCCCAGUGACAUCAAUGGUGGAAAGGUAGAAAAGCUUGAAGGUCCAUGUGUUUUGCAGAUUCAAAAAAUUCGCAAUGUUGCUGCACCAAAGGAUAACGAAGAGUCCCAGGCUGCGCCAAGAAUGCUGCGUUUGCAGAUGACCGAUGGUCAUACAAGUUGCACGGCAGUGGAGUUCAAUUAUAUGCCAAAAAUAAGCCUGAACACACCACCUGGAACCAAAAUUAAGCUCUCAGGCGUUGUUGACAUAAAAAACGGAUUCCUGCUCUUGAAUGACUCCAAUACCACAGUUCUUGGUGGUGAAGUGGAACACCUGAUUGAGAAAUGGGAGUUACAGAGAAGCUUGUCAAAACAUAAUAGAAGCAAUAUUGGAACCGAAGGUGGACCACCUCCUUUUGUGCCUUUUGGACAGAAGUGUGUAUCUCACGCCCAAGUGGAUAGCAGAGAACUUGAUCGAAGAAAGACACUGCAAGUUACAAUGCCUGUCAAACCUUCAAAUGAUAAUGAUGAAUUUGAAAAACAAAGGACUGCUGCUAUUGCAGAAGUUGCAAAGAGCAAAGAAACCAAGACAUUUGGAGGAGGCGGCGGCGGUGCUAGAAGUAAUCUCAAUAUAAGCACUGGUGGUAACCGAAAUAGGGAAGUUUUACAGAAGGAAAAGUCAACCAAACCUGAAGGGAAACACGAAGGUGUCUAUAGAGAACUGGUUGAUGAGAAGGCUCUGAAGCAUAUAACAGAAAUGGGCUUCAGUAAGGAAGCGUCUCGGCAAGCUCUUAUGGAUAAUGGCAACAACUUAGAAGCUGCAUUGAAUGUACUUCUUAAUAGCAAUAAGCAGAAACCUGUUACGGGUCCACCUCUGAGAGGUAAAGGAAAAGGCAGGGGACGAGUAAGAUCUGAAGAUGAAGAAGACCUGGGAAGUGCAAGGCCAUCAGCACCAAGCACAUUAUUUGAUUUCUUAGAGUCUAAAAUGGGAACUUUGAAUGUGGAAGAACCUAAAUCACAGCCGCAGCAGCCUCAUCAGGGACAACAUAGAUUUUCGAGUAUGGAACAGAAUGGAGUAAGAGAUAAUAACCAACCAAGACAUCUUCCUCGAAAUGAUACCAGGCAGCUAAGAAAUGAAAAGCCUCCUCGUUUCCAAAGAGACACCCAAAAUUCAAAGUCAGUUUUCGAAGGCUGUGGAUUACCUAGAAACAGAGGUUCCGAAAAACCAACUUCUUCAGUAUCUGAAGUAUGGGCUGAAGAGAGAAUCAAAUGUGAUAGACCAUAUUCUAGAUAUGAUAGAACUAAAGAUACUUCAUAUCCUUCAAGCUCUCAGUACAAUGGUGGUGCUUUUAAAAAAAGAGAUAACUCUAUGCAAAGCAGACCAGGAAAAGGUCCAUUCUAUGCAGAGGCAAAAGAAGAUCCGCUUCCUCAAGAAUCCAUAGAUUAUAAUAAUCAAAAACGUGGGAAAAGAGAAAACCAACCAGCAAAUCCUGAUCAUUUUUAUGACAGAAAAGCACGAACAAUGAAUAACGAAGCUUUUGGUGGUGUAAAAAUUGAAAAACAUUUUAAUGUAAAUACUGAUCACCAGAAUCCUGUCAGAACUAAUAGCUUCAUUGGUGUUCCAAAUGGAGAGACAGAAAUGCCACUGAAGGGGAGGCGAGUAGGACCUAUUAAGCCAGCAGGACCCAUCCCAGCUACUCCCUAUGAUGACAAGAUAUUUUAUAAUAGUGGGCCCAAAAGAAGAUCUGGGCCAAUUAAACCAGAGAAGGUCAUAGAAUCAUCUAUUCCUAUGGAGUAUACAAAAAUGUGGAAACCUGGAGAUGAAUGUUUUGCACUUUAUUGGGAAGACAACAAGUUUUACCGAGCAGAAGUUGAAGCUCUCCAUUCUUCGGGCAUGACAGCAGUUGUUAAAUUCAUUGAUUAUGGAAACUAUGAAGAGGUGCUAUUAAGCAACAUCAGGCCCAUUCAAACAGAGGCAUGGGAUGGCCAUAACUGAUGAGCACGUUUGUUUUUUUCUCACUGUAGCUAUUCCAUUCAGAGGUGUUUGCUACUGAAGUGAUCAUUUUCUUUUGCAGUUAGUGACUUUUCUUUUACCCCCCCUUGAUGUAGUCCUCAUUGCUUUACCCUUGAUUUUAGGUCUGUAUAAACUUAGCUGGGCAAUAAGUGUAUUAGCUGUCACAGCCCAUUUAGUGAUUCUAUUCUGAACCACAGCAAUAAUUUUAUAUUCCUACCUGUUUGUGACUACUCAUCUAUGCUUUAUUGUGCCAUUAUCUUAUCUAUUUUCUUUUUCUGUAGUUGACUUAAAAUUUUUUUAUUAGGUGUUUGAAAUAUUUUGCAGAAAGAAGCAGGAUAGGAUCUCUAAUUCUGUUGGAGAUUCUGGCGUUUCUUUUCUCUUACUUAUAGAUAAUCAAGUGAUUGUUGACAUUUCGUGAUUCUGCAGAGUAUAAUAAAACAAACAUUUUUGGAUCAUGCACUUCUGAGGAUAAAAUCAGCCUUCUUUAUUUGCGUGAAUAAUUAGUUGAGAGAAAUACCUCCUUCUUGAAAUGUUGAAACCACCACCAGCUUAACAUAUUUUCAUCCAUCUCCAUUUUUUAAAAAUAGGUGUGCAUGUGUAUGCGUGUGUGUGUGUGUCUGUCUGUAUGCCUUUAGGAAAUACAAUGUUGAGACCAUUAAGUUAGAGUUAGUGUACAGUUCUCUUAGCUUUUAAAAGUAUUGAUGUUGGGGUCUGUGAACACUUUUUCUGUGAACAUUUUUUUCACUGGGAAACAAGUUUUAAGUUAAUUAUAUUUAUGUAUCAAUGUACCAAAUUAUACAAAGAAAAAUAUUUAUUUUACCAAUAAGGUAACACUAAUUGAUCAGUCAUACUGGAAAAAUUGAAGGGCUGCAAGAUGUAGGGAAGUUGUUAGAUGCUUUAGCACUGUUAUUAACUCACACUAUGGAUUAUGGAUUUUCUGAUUUUUUAACUCUUGCACUACUUAUGUGCAGUAAUAUUUUUAAUUGUGAAAUGGUACGGUAUUGUUUAUUAAGGUUUAUGUUUGUUAUUGGCACAAGAUUUUGGAAAACCUCUUGUUUACCAAAAGCCUUUAUAGAAAUAAAUUGCCUAUAUUGUCUCUUUAAAGUAAAAGAAUAAAUUUUCAAGUAAAGUAUGAACUAGUAAGAGGCUUAAUGACUAAAUUAACAGUCUGUUGUAUGGAAAACUGAAAUAAAAAUCAAGUCAGUUCUUUAAGUGUUAAUGUUUUUCUCAUGAAGUCUAGGAAUUAUUUGCCUCAGUAAGCCAAGUAUUUAUUUUCUGCUUCCAUCUGGAUACACCUGAUUACUUCCAGAACAUACUCACUAAGCAAUGAUGUUUUAGAUAGCUGAAAUAUAUGUUCUGAUUAUGAUUAAAUAUUUUAUUUCCUCCAAAACGAUGUGUUACCAAAAUAAUUAGGUAUUUUACCCUUCUUUUUUUUUUUUUUUUCCAUGCUAGCUAGAUUUCUUCGUUUCUUUUGGAAAUCUAUCACAAUUUUAGUGCCUUUAUUGUAAUGAAUUCCCUAAUUAUUACGUGUAAUGUGAGGUUCACAGCUCAUUCUUUAACACCAGGAUAAAUGCUCCAAUUUAUUUCUCUUUUUCAAAGAAUGGGUUCUCUGAACAGAAGAGGACUUCCUCUUUUAACAAAGUAAAUGAAGCAGUAUAGAAUCUCAUUUAUUAUUUGUCAAAUAAUAUAGAAAGAAAACCAUAAUAUUGUUUUAUAUUUCUGACCACUUCAUGAGAAACCAUUAAAGGCAAAGAAAACCUUCUUAUGCUCCCUACAGGCACUUUGCAAAUUGUGUGUGUGUGUGUGUGUGUGUGUUUUUUUUUUUUUAAUUCUAAAACUAAUACCAGGAAACCAGUAAAAAGAUGCCACAGGCAAUUUGGAAGUACUAUAAAAUACAGUGCUGCUGCUGCUCAGACAAACCUUUUGUGUUUCUAAGGUGCUGUUGCUUCUGAAAAGCUCUCCUAAACCUGAAAAAGGUACUUCCUGAUUUUCCAAGUAUAUUCAUGGCCUGAUUCCUCUGAGACCUUUAUGUCUCAGGAAAACUUUUAGAACAUGCUGGUUUCCAAACUUUCUUUUAAAAAGUUCAUAGUGUCUGCUUUUUGGUAUCAGCAACUGAUGACUGUUCAACAGUUUCAACAAGAAAAAUUGUGGUUGUGUAGAUAAUGGUUAGUUCUAAGACCUUAACAUACCCAUCAUCUUGGGCAGUGUCUCUGGAAAGUGACAGUAGAUUGUUACUGUCUUUUAGAUGAUCCAUCUUAUCGUAAAUGUUUUUCUGUAGAACAUUCAUUUAUUCAUUGCACAUCUAUCAGAUGCCGGGCACUGUUCCAGGUGAGCAAGACACAAAAAAAUCUCCACCCUUUGCACAAAGAUAGAAGAAAGCUAUAGUUCUAGUUUUAUGAAACAAACUUAAAUGUCUUACUAGGGACUUUUUUCUUAACUUUUAAGGUAUUAAAGAAAGUAGAAAUGGGGAAAAUUCUGUUUUUACUAAAAUUAUAAUUUAAAUAAUUUUUAGGUCUUUGUUUAUUCCAUUUUAGUUUGAAGAUAAAAUUACUGUAGUGGAAAAAGGUAUUACUUCACUAUAAAUUUUAUGUAUUUAUAAAGUUCUUAUCGGCUUAUCUGUUUUAUUUCUCUAUUUAAAAGUCAAUUUUGUUUUUAUGAGGGCUUCUUUUUGGUUUUAUUUUAUUUUUUGGUAGUUAUGUAUUUUAGUUUUAUCAUACAUUAAGAAAGGGAACUUAUCAAUCUCAAGUUUUAUUUUUGUAGUAACAUUGCACAAAAUUUGUUUUAUCAUGGUGUUCUAGGAAACGUGCUUGAAAGUUACCUUUUCCAAAUCAAAUAACAUUCAUAAAGAGCCAUAAAUUCUUCUGUAACUAACAGAAAUAUUAAAGAGAAACACAUAACGAAAAAAUUAGCCUGUUUAAUGAGGAAGCAGAUUUGAGAGUUGUCAUAAAUAAAUUAAUGGGUUAAAAAUGAAUUCUAAAUGUUUUAGAACCAAGGUCAUGUUAAUAAUUUUCACGCUGUAAUGAUAAAUUAGGUUAUAUCUAGUUUGUGUUUGAUAUCAAAAAUCAUAAUAGAUGUUAAAAGAGGACAAUUAUUAUAGAAACCAUUUUACUUCAAAGGACGGUUAGAAUUCUACAACAAUGAGGUUCUGCCAAUUAGUAUUCAGUGAAAAGUGCAAGCACCUAUUUAUUAUAAUCCAGAAGGCUUUUUAUUCUUGCUGAUAAAUUUUUUAAUAAAUUAUUGGUUAUAUUUUACUGUACUUAAACUUCUGCAUUAAAAACACAAUUUGGUUAAAGUCACUGAAAUAAUGAAAUACUUUUUGUUCUGCCAUACAUAUCUUGGGAAACUGCUUUCAAAGAGAGCUAUAUGGGCAGUGCCAAUUUUCUUUUGUAAAAAAAAAAAGAAACAUAAACACAGCGUAAAUCAGAAUGAAGCUGUAUGGCUAGUUUAGCCCCAUUUCAGAACAUUUCAGAUUGUGAGCCAUGGAACUUGGAAUUCCAUGCAAUAUCUUUAAGCUUUCUUUUAAUAAAGUUUGGUUUACUAUAGUAAGUGUAGUUAUUUCUUCUCCAUCUAUUAUCCAAUCUCUCACAGUUCACACAGGAGAGGUGUGAAUUAUACAGAAGGGCUCUACUGGAGAUAUGAAAGCUGUUGACGUCAGUAUACUCUGUAUGCAUAAAUACGUUCACUUAAGUACUAUUCAUAUCUACCUUUUGAAACCCAAAUUUAUCUCCUGACAGCUAAAUGGAAUGGUAUGUCUUGAGACUGAGACCCAGCUACACUACUAUUGAAUAGCAACAUUUUAUUUAACUAUUUAAAUUAAUACUAAGACAAUGAUAUGCUAUUUUAAGAAUGUGUAUAAAGUAUUGUUUGAAUUUUGAUAUCUGAUAACAUAUUGUAAUCUAUUUAAAUGAACUAUAUGUAAAAAUAUCUUUAAAAGGUUUUUGGGUAAUCUGAGUUUUCCUUUACUGAACAAUGAAAGUAUGAGGUUAUAUUAUUAUUUCCUGUUCCUUUUUCUGAAAGUGAGAUAAGUCUGAAGGUGAAAUAACAUGGCAGAGUACUAGCAUGUUUUUAAUGUUAGUAUCUAGUAUUACCUGAGACACUAUCUUUUCUUUUUAAAGUAAUUUUAAUGAUACUGCUCAGAUGUGUUUUUAACUUUAAUCACCAUUCAUAAAACAAUUUAAGCUUCUAAUUAUUUAAAUAUUCUUAAUAUUAAGUAUUAAAAAAAAGUAUUAGGUUAGCUUAAAUGUUUAAAAAUCUACCACAUUUGUUUUUAUAUACAUGAAUAAUACCAAUAGAUAUUACGUUAAUCUUUUAUCUUCUUAGUGUCCCCUUUGUUAAUGGCAACCCAAAAUGUGGACUUAUGAAUAUAUGGAGUUGGGUAAUUAAGAAGUAGAUUCAUAAUACUUUACCUUUGUAUUGACUAUUAUGUAAUUUUGAUUUUUCCUUCAAAGUAAUCUUAAGGAGGUCUUAAGAGUGAGAUUCAUAGUUGAAGAGGGCCAGAAUUGUCAGGCGAAUUAAUUUUUUCCUUUGACAUUUUUGAUUCGGUAAACCCAAGGCUUAUUCUCCUCUGUGAAUUUCGUCUUUUUGUUUACUUAUAGAAACUUUUGAUGCUGUCAUUUCAGACUGCAAUAAAUUUUAACUUUUCUUUGCAAAGGUAUUCAAAAGAUUUGCUAGUAUACUUAUUGCACAGGAAAUAAAGAAGUAGUAAAAUAAAUGAAACUGAGGAUUUUUUUUUUUUUAUUUCUAUGUUCCCAGAGAUGUCACUCAUAUUGGUCAUAUGUCUUGAAUAAAUAUUCACGUCAGUAUAUUUCAAAGAUUUUUAUAGUUCUAAAGAGGCACUCUUGAUUAAAAAAAAAAAAUACAGUUGUUUUAAUUUUGGAUGAAUUUUCUGAGCCUCAUCCAUUUGCGUCUGCAAAAGGACCAGAAAAAUAAUGUUGCUCAUUGUACCCGUAGACUUUAUUCCCUUUCAGAUGGAGCUCCCACAGUGCCUUUCCUGUAGGGAGUGAUGGUGAACCUUGAUGGUGAACCUUGAUAGUGAAGAGCUAAAAGUGGACUUAUGAUACAUAUUUCAUUGCAUGCCAUAGUGAGUUGUCAUUUCUCCUUUCUGUUAUGUAGUCAUCUCUGUGUCUCUACUUAAUACUGUUUCUCUGUACUCCUACCAUCAUCUUAUUUAUUGGUCAUAUCUCUCAGUUUUUAUUUUGUUUUCUAAAUAUCAUUGUAUCCUUUUGACUUUUUUUUAACUUUUUCUUUUUACCUCCGUUUGGUGAUGUCUCUUGAUGUAUACGGAUUACCCUUACUACUGAUCCUAGUUCUUCUAAACUUUACUGGAUAAGUAUGCUAUUUAUUCUGGAAUCAUGUACAAUAGGUUUCACCAUCACACUCUAGGAAAAGAGCGAAGUUGAUCUCUCUCCUAGCGAGAAACACUCAGGUGUUAUAGAGCUUCCAGUUCCGUUAAACUUGGGAACUACUUGCAAGAAUUUUAUACCUUGGCUUGAAAUAACUCCCUUAGUGGCCUGUCAUUGGCUGAGAGCUCCAUCCAGAAGGGAAAGGAAGUACUGCAACAGUGAGUACAUUUUAUUUGCCUUUUAAAAAAUCUGUAUGGUUUAGAGUAAGCAUAAUGAAGAAGCUCUAGCUUAGACAUUAUAAAAAGUCACUAAGUCUUUUAUAUAUCCAUAUAAUUCUUUGUAUGUAAUGUAUAAAAAGUUAGCCCAUCUAACUCAGAGUUUUCUAAAGCAUAUUCUGAGAACAUAUUCUAGUUCUGUUUUCUUGUUAAUAGGUGUUCUUUGGUUAAAUAAGUUUGGAAAAUCCUGGAUUAAAACAGUUAAGUACACUUUUUUAUUAUAGGACUUCUUGGAGCCAGUAACAUUUUAAAUCUCCAACUGAGAGAUGUAUAGUGUUUAGUGCUUCACAAACUUAUUUGCUCACGGAACUCUUUUUUUUUUUUUUUUCUUUCUAGAUACCCCAAAAAAGUUGCCAUUGAGUUGAUUCCAACUCAUAGUGACCCUAUAAAUUCUAUAGGGGAUAGGUAAUCUUGACUAGCUUCUUUCUAGUUUUCAAACUUCCCAUCUGUAAAAUGAAGCAAAAAUUUAUCUUUAAAAAGUGUUGUUUGGGAUUUCCCAAACCUGUUAUUAGUAGUAGUACAGUACGAUAUUUUUAUUAUGAGAUAAAAUAUGUAAAAAGCACUUUCUCUUCAAACAUGUUCCAAAUACAUUCUUUACCUUUCUAUGAAUAGAGAACAAAAUUUAUUCCUGAAUAUUUAUGUCCCUUCUAAGUAUUUAUGCCAUUAGUAAAUCAAAAAAUCAAAUCUGUUGCCAUCAAGUUGAUUCCAAGUCAUAGUGACCUGUAGGAUAGUGUAGAACUGCCCUAUAGGGUUUCCAAGGCUGUAAUCUUUAUGAAAGCAGACCGCCACAUCUUUCCCCCGCUGAGAAGCUGAUGGGUUUGAACUGCCAACCCUUUGGUUAGCAGCUGAGCACUUAACCCUAAGCCACCAAGGCCAUGAGUUAAAAAAAACCAAAACCAAACCCGUUGCCAUCGAGUCGAUUCCAACUCAUAGCAACCUUGUAGGGCAGAGUAGAACUGCAUCAUAGAGUUUCCAAGGAGUGCCUGGUGGAAUCGAACUGCCAACAUUUUGAUUAGUAGACGUAGCUCUUAACCACUGCGCCACGAGGAUUUCCAAGGGCCAUGAGCAGUAGUAUUAAAUUUAUAUGAUAAUAAAAAUUUUAUUUUAGAUGUAAUUAUACCAAAAACCAAACCCAGUGCUGUCGAGUCAAUUCCAGCUCAUAGCGACCCUAUAGGACAGAGUAGAGCUGCUCCAUAGAGUUUCCAAGGAGCGCCUGGCAGAUUCGAACUGCUGACCCUUUGGUUAGCAGCCGUAGCACUUAACCACUACGCCACCAAGGUUUCCAGAUGUAAUUAUAGACAACUCAAUUUUAUUUUAACUCAAUAUGUAACAGUUUUCAGAAUUUGUCACUUGCAAGAUUCCUAUGGUAGCUUUCGUAGUAUUGCUGUCCUUUUCUGUAAUUCCCAUCUAAUAACCCACAUGAUGUCUAUAUGUUCCAGCAGUAGCAUAGGUUCAUUUUUUAUUUGGGUUUUCUAUUUAUUAUUCCCCAAUAAUCUAAUAAGAAAAAAUCAAAAUCCUCCUCUCACCCCCCCCCCUUUUUUUUUAAGUGAACUGGCACUGGCUAUUACUAAAUAAAGUGUCAAAGCAAAUGAAUUCCUCCUAAAAGGCAAAAAUUCUGCUUUGCUUCAACAUUUGUAUUGCUCUUACUAAUGGACUAGUGUGUUCUCUCUGAAGCCUUUGAAUGUCAUUGUUUUAGUUAGUUUAAAGCUUGUUAUUCAAAGCCUUCUGAAAAACAAGCACUUGACUGCUCUUGACCUCUUGUUCUUAUUUUUCCUGAUACUACUUGGUAAAUCACAUGAAUUGAGGAUCUUUCACAUGAGAGAUCUGCAGGGGAGAAAUAUUACUUCAAGAAACAUCCCCUUUCCAGGCAUUUGUAAUUUAUAAACUAGGGCACAAUUUACUGUUGGGUAAUAGCUAGUGGAAGUGCAAAGAACUCUAUAAAUAAUCAGUAAUGAUACUGUAAGUACCAUCUCUUUUAGAGAUUGAUGGGAUCAGAAUUUUGAGUUAGCACACAAACUGGCUUGGUAGCUGAAACAUUGGAAGGAGAUCAGUAAUUAUUUGUUCAGUGAUUGAUAUGUCCUGGUGGCCACCUUUAUUAUUGAAGAGUCCUUCCUCAAACAUCAAGCCUGAUGGUGUUUUUUCAAGAAAUUAUUCAUUGAAUGCUUUUUUUUUGGUACCGAAGUUUUUAAGGCAGUUUGGAAAAUAGAGUGGGCUAUACGCCCAAGGAAUUAAAAGGAAAAGUAGGCAGUAUGUUUCUUUCCUUCAAGAAGCCACCUAAUAAAAUAAUGAUAAAUUCACCAUCAGACUGGGUGAGUUCCAGUCUGGGAACCAUUGUUGGAAUAGUUGUUGACUGCAACUUUUUUAGGCAUGGUAAGUGAAUGGUAUAGUGCCAAAAAAAUAAGUUGGAAAGCCCAACAGUGAUUUCUCAAAACUUGUAUUAACCGUAGCAACCUUUUAGUGCAUUUUCAUUCUGCCUAAGUAUGCCCACUUUUCCCAGCUCACGUUAUUAGGGAAUUAGGGUCAGGUGUCUGACUAACACCGUUUAUUAUACAAUGAAGAAUAUUGAAAGUCAGCUCACUUCUCUUUCUUUUUAGUUCAAAUUCUAAAAUGUAUGGACUUCUGAUUUUGUUUAAGUGUUAAUGCUAAUUGUAUUCUUAAAUAAAUAAGACUUGUAAUGUGAAGAAAAAUUUCUCAUAAAGUGAGAAAUUUUUCUCAGUAAAUUCCUAAAUUUGGGUAAUAAUCAAAAGAAUGUUUGACUUAAAUCAGAUUUUCAAAGUAUGGAAUUGAAGUCUUAAAGCAAAGGGAUAAGGGAGACAUAUUCAAGAGCUUGUGAGUAUUAGUCUAAAUUUUUUAUCCAUUCUACCUGGUCCACUUUGUUGUUUUUUUGCUUCCUCUCUCUCAUCCUUCUUAUCUCACCUCUCCCUCCUUGUCCUUUUUCUCCUUUAUUUUAUUUUAUGUGGGAUUGCAUUCCUUUUUGUUCAUCUUAAAGUUUUCAGGUGGUUUUAAGAAUUGGGUUGGAUAUAACCCAAACCAGGCAGGACUGAUGCUCAAAUAAAGUCCAGUUAAAUAGACCAUCUUUUAAAGUACAAAAGCCUCUAAAAGCUUUGAGCACUAAUACCCCUGGUUGAUCUUUUGUAUGUCAUGAUUAGUGUUAAUGCUUACACUGUACUCGGUCCUACUGAUAGUAGUUCUCAUAAAUGGAAGGACCUUUAGAGACCAUUAUUGAGAUGUAUUAGAACUCAUUACGAAAGGACCUAGAAAUGAUAAAAAGUUGGUAGCGUGCCUAGUCCAUUUAAAUCAUAUUCCUGUAUUCUUAGGACAUUAGUACAGGAAAUAAAAUAAAAAUAUCUUAUUGAAUGUGCUUGAAACUUAUGAGAAGUAUAAAUAGUAAAGAUGGGAAAUUAAAAUAUAUAAUUCCUUUAAGAAAAAUUAAGAAACUAUUCAAGAAACAAACUAGCCACUGGAAAGUCUAAAUUUUAUUAUAGAAAAUUAAUUAUAAAGGGUUAGAUUAAAAGCAUUUUAGCUGUAAUUUAGAAACAAAUAUAAGAUUUAUAUCUCAAGAAGGUAAUGUAUAUACUCUCCCAUUUGUUGAAAAUGUCUAUAGUUGGCUAUGAAAAGACUGAAUAUGUGAAAUUUCUAGCCAAUCUAAUGAUUUAUAAUUGCUUUAGUGAAAAUGGAAACCCUGGUGGUGUAGUGGUUAAGAGCUACACCUGCUAACCAAAAGGUCAGCAGUUCAAAUCCACGAGGCGCUCCUUGGAAACCCUAUGGGGCAGUUCUACUCCAUCCUAUGGGGUUGUGUUGAGUUGGAAUCGACUCGACAGAAAAAAUGGGUUUGGUUAGUGAAAAUAAUCACUAAGGAAGGGUGAUUAGGAUGGGAGAACAAUGGCCACAGAGUAAGUUAAAGUAGGUAGCUUGGUUCGUAAGCAGAUUUAAAAAUAGUUUUUAUAAUGUUGUAAUUUUUAAUUUACAAGGCUUGACUGGAACCACUAAAUAAAAUUUCAAAAGUAACCUACUUUGAACCAUUUUAAUUAUUAAAAAAAAAAGAAAGGUUUACUUUCUGAAAUGAGAAUUACUAUGCCUUGUGAUUCAAAUAAAUUUCACAAAAUUGGCAAAGUAUGGUGAAAAAUACUUCUGACAUUGUUUAUUACUUACUGCCAUUCUUGGCUUCAAUGUUGAGAAACACUUUCAGGUUCUAUAUACUUUACUCUGGAAGGAUUUGGUGAAAAAGGGUCACCGAGAGAGCUAAAUGUCUGCUCUUCUUGGCCUUUAAAACAAGAGGAAAGCUCAAGGCUGGUCUUGGGCAAAUUACUUCCACCUCCCUUUUUGCCCCUGCUUCAGCUCCAGGGGAGCUGGAAAAUGCACAGGAGGAAUCAGAAGACCUGGGUUCGAGUCCCGGCUCUGCCAAUUACUACCUAUGUGACUUUGGAACAGUGCCUGGGACAACACAUUUCCUUAGAAAGAGUAUGUGCUAGACAACAGGAAUGCAUAGAUGAGCAGUCCGUGCCCUCAAGGAAUCACAGACAAGUGGAAGAGCCCUGCAAGAACACCACCAUUUCAGGACAGGGCAAUAAGGUUGUGAUGAACAGAGCACAGAUGGGUUAUACUCAACUCAGCCUGAAGUGAAUCGUGUCAGGAACUGCCUCAUAGAAGAGUUUCCAGUGUUAUUGGCAUAGCCUGCUGUACAGCAGUGUUUUGAACAGUAAAUCGUAACAUUGAACAUUUGCAAGUGAACAUCUGAGAACGAUAACAUCAGCAAAUUACAUGCUACAACAUUGUAUGUAGUACAUACUGCUAACGAUAAAACCCAAACCAAACCCAUUGCGCCGAGUCAGUUCCAACUCAUAACAACCCUAUGGUGCAGGGUAGAACUGCCCCAUAGGGCUUCCAAGAUGUGGCUGGUGGAUUCGCAGUGCCAACUUCUUGGUUAGCAGCUGUAGCUCUUACCCACUGUGCCACCAGGGCUUCACUAUUAAUGAUAAGCUGUAUCAAAAAAAAAAAAAAAUCAUAAGUGUGAUAUGUUGUAACUUGAAUAUGUCGUAAGUUGGGGACUACUAAAUUGUUAUUUAUGAAAUUGUUUCUUUAGGGUGGCUUAUCAGUAAGAAGAGUAAGAAAAUCAAGUAGAAAAUAAAAUGCUGCUGUUUAAUCCCGUGGCGUUUAGCCUGUCUAUUGAACUAACGAUCAUUAUUGACCCAUUCGUGGAGGGAGAUUUUCUUAACAUAGAACACAGUUUUAAAUGUGUAGUAUUAAAAAUGUGUUCAUCAUAAUUUGUGUACAUCAGUUAUAAAGUGUUAUUCACCACUAGCGUUGGGAUUAUAAAAUAAAAUCCAAAUAGAAAACCAGGUAAUAUGCUUUUCACAAUCUUUGAGUUAAUUUAUAAACUAUUACGGAAUCAUGAUCCCUGGAUCUCUUUCUAAUUGCCGCUAUUUCAAUACAUUGGUAAUGAUCCUGAAAAAAUAGCCUAAACAAUUUACAGUUUCUCACUAAAACUACAGAGAGCUGAGAAAAAUAAUACAGUGCAGUUUACCGUAUUAUGAAAUUGAUGAAUAUACCUUAACGUGUAUUCUAGUAGUACAUUCUUAAGUGACUUUAAGUACGUGCGAGUUAAGUAUACAAAACAGAAUCAUUUGUAUUCAGCCAAGCCUCUGAGGAUAAAUAUCUGGAACGUACAGUCGUGAAAAUCUUUGUGUUGGUGAGUUUUAUUGCCUUACUUACUAUACUUUCCUUCUCAGUAGCCAUGUUCUUGGGGGAAGUUAAUGCUCCAUGUCUUCAGAAAACUAGGGCGAGAAAACCCUUAAACUUGAAUAAUUUUAUAAAGAUGAUUACUGUAUUUGGUAAGCUAGUAGAAUUCGUCCCAGUAAAAAAGAUUGCCUCUGGGUUCUUUUCUUCCUUGGAAGAAAAAUGAACAUAUUGCUAAUUGACCAGAUUCUCAGUCUCUCUUUUGUAUUGCAUUGGCUAUUAGCACCAAUAAUUGUAACAUCACUCUGUAAAUGUAAAGUGCCACAGAAAGGCUUGUUUAGCAUUGUAUGUUAGGUUCUCAACCUUUAUAACUCACUGGGAUAACAUAGCCAAAUUGCUUGACUUAAAGCAAUAAAAAGAAACACUGUUUAUAUUGUAAUAGGCAUUGUAAAGAAUGGAACUUUACAUUUGUGAAGUAAUAAAAACAGCUAACUUUAUUGAACACUUAACUUUGUACCAGCCAUUCUUCUGAGCUCUUGUGUAUAUUCCUUGAAGUAUAGUAGCUACUAUUGAUACUGUAGCCAUUUCAGUGUAGUUUGUUCUCACAGUUGAGUCACUCAGAGUAGGUAGCAUUUGUGGACAGUUUGUGUUUACAGUAAGACCAUAGCAUCUAUGUGAUAUCAUAUCCAUUUUCUUUUAUUAAUUUAAUUAUAUAUCAAAAUAUAAGUGAGAAGGAAAGCACUUGAUUUUGAUCUUUCUAUAUAAAUCUUGUAACAGUUAAACCAUUAUCAGUCUAAUUCUCUGCUUCAGCCUCUCCAUCCUUUGGGAUAUUUGGAAAGAACACAGACUUUACAGUCCAACAUUGCCUGGGCAAGAUAUGUUAAUUUUUUUUUAACUUCAGUUUUGUUUUCUCUUCUGAAAAAUAGCAAUAAAACUCUGCAGCCUCAUAGAGUUGUUGUGAGGAACAUAGUAGCGGCUCAUAAGCAUUAUUUGUUCAGUCACUGAAUGACUGAAAUGCCUGGCACAUAGGUUCUUGAUGUUGGUUCCAUUUCAUUAGUUCUCCUUCAAAGCUUUGGAAGGAGCAGCCUUCCUUAUUGUUAGCCUCCUGAAAGUGAUGUUUAUUAAUCCUGGAUUACAGCAGCACCUACUGAUUGAAACUGCCAAAUCGAGAGUUGGGUACCAUCCUCAAUUGUCCCACUUGGAAGGAAACCUAAAGCACUCCUUUGCACCAUCGUUUUCUUCAAACUAAAUGGUCUUCCUUUUAUUUUCCUGUUUCUUCUUUUUGCUAUUUUAGUAUUACUAGAAUAAUGAGGGAAAUUGUAUAUUAGGACCCUUAAAAUGUAGUCUUAAUAUAAAAACUCGCAAAUAUGUUUUUAAAGUAAAGUAGUAUUCUCACAAAAUGAUAGAACUGUGCUCCUUUAAGCUAACGGUAUUGCCUGCAAAGUUAGAAAAUAUCCCAUCUUUUUUCUUUAUGAAAAACCAUUUUCCUUCACACUUCUGAAAUUCUGCAGUUUGUAACCACCUUCAUAAAUGGGUGACUUGUAUUCCAGCUCCAGCACAAAGCCUUUCAGUCGUCCUGCUGUCAGUGUGCCUGCUGCUUGACACUGACAGGAGUCUUGUCAAAACCAGGUUUUGUAUAAAUUAGUGUUUAAAUCUGGGCAGGCUUUCCUCCCUUACUUCACUUCAGCUUUUAAAAUACUGUCGUGCAUUUAUUCAGAGAUAAUAAAAGUAAAAUUUGAAUAUCGUAUCACACAUUUUAUACCUAGAAGUUUAUAAACUGUUAGAAAACCAUGAGCUUUCUUAGUAUCUAUGAUUUCUCAUUGAGCCUUAAUUAUAGUAAACCUUAGUCUUACAAAUUUCUGAACAGUAUAAAUAUUAUCGUUUGACCCUUCUAGUCCAGAGGAUCGAUUUUGCCUUGGGCAAAGUAAGCACUUCCUAAUCAGUGACCUAUGCAUUGUGUGUGUGUGUGUGUGUGUGUGUGUGUGUGUGUGAGAGAGAGAGAGAUGUGUGUGUGAUGUGUGUAUGAGAGAGAAAAAGAGUGGGAGGGUGUGAGCACACCAUCGGGAAGGGAGGAAGGAGGGGGCAGGAUUUUUAGUUGCACAGAAGAGCACACUUUAAAUAAUCUUAGGGAUGAAUUCAGAAUUUUAAAGAGUUGAUUAUUUUACCUUAAUACUUUUGAGAAAGAUACAGAUUAAGUAUUUGAAAAACCCAAGAAAAUCUUGGACUCUAUUCCGGAGACAUCAUGCCCUCCUCAUUUGUUCUUGCUGUUGUUUUAGCCGUGGCUUAGAGUCAGUUAUCUUUGUCUGAUUGUUGAUUUGAGACCUGCUGCUGAAAAUCACUUGUAGUGGAUGAUGACUGAGGAAGUCAGAUGAGUAUCGGGAAGAAGUAAGAAGUGGGGAUGUGAGAAGACAGUUGAAGCAAUAUGGAGCAGGCCUGAGAAUCUGAAUGAAAAAACAGGGGAGAUGCCUGGGAGCCUUAGGGAUGACAGUGCAAAGCCACUGCCCAAAAAACCACGGUAGCCCCAGUGAGGAAAUUUUCUCCACCUGUGAAAGACAGAGACUUUGAUGCUAAGACAUGACUGGCGUUGCCAAGAAGAAAGCACCUUGAGUACGAAUCACCUGAUUCAGACUAUAAUUUUCCUUUACUGAAGUUGUUGGAAAUUUUUUACUCUGUUUAAUUCUUGGACAAAGUCUUUGUGAUAUCCUCUUCCUUCAGUCAUCUAACCAUCAAAAAAGAUUGAAAAGCUCUCCUAAACUUGGAAAGAGAAUGACUAAAAAAAAAAAAAAGCUAACUCUUUAUAUACUGAACAUUUUAUAAUAUCAAUGUGAAGGAAAAAUCCAUAAAUCUAAACAUAUUGAGAGUAAUAGGCAUUUAUUUAAUAUCAAGAUGGUAUGUUACUUCCCUGCAAACUUAUUGAGGUAGAGUGGUAUAAAUGGUUGAGAACGGGAAGAUUGAAAUUGUUUCUGUUCAAAACCUGAAUAUAAUUGAAGUGUACCCAUUGUGUUCUGGGUACCAUGUAUAACUAUUGGGGUAUACUAAUUCAUUUAAUUUCUACAGGAUCUCUGUGAAAAAUAUAUUAGUAUUCCCGUUUUACACACAAGAAAAAGUAUAAACAGAGGUUUAGAGCCAUUAAGUAACUUGCUUAAAAUAAUUAAACUAAUAUGUCGCAGAGCAGAUAAUUCAGGUUUAGGACUCACUGCCAUGAUACCCCGUGAUCUUACACCUUACCUGUAAAUGGAGGGAAAUGAUGCUGACCUACUUAAGGCUUUUUAUAUGGGUUUGAUAAAAUAAUGAGUAUAAAAAACAGUCCAGCGUAGCAGGAGGUUUGUACUAAGUAUGUGGUAGCUAUUGCUGUUCUCAUAAAGCUUUUACCCACUUUAUGAAUUCAAUCUGAAUUCCUCACAAAUUUAGAGUACUUUACAGAGAGCUGUGAAGAUGUGUGUGGCGAGAGGCAUCGGCCGGUAUUUCUCAAGGGGCUAGAAAGCAUUUUACAUAGUGUGAGAAAAAAAUCAAUCUUGUUAGCCUACUAUUUCAUUGCUAAACCCGUACAAAACAUUUAAUCUUGAACUGAGACUCUCAUGUCAUCUUCUAAAUAUCACUGGGAUCUAGUUUUAAGAUUAAACUACAUUUUAGCUACUGACCUAAUCGUUAGCCCCUUGGUUGUGUAGAUAUCUAACUUCUACUCUGCAAAAAAGACAAAUAAGUCACCAAAAUAAAUCACUUGUUGGCAAAACCUGACGUAGUAUUACAUAGUUAUUAAGAAUAUACCAGUGGUAAUACAGUGCCCAAAUAAUAUUUUCCGUUAGUGCACAUCCUUAAACUGGGGUUAAAUUUAAUAUUUUGUGUUUAGGUUGGAAAAAUAAUUCUCGACACAUAGAGAAUGAAGCGGACCUGAGAAUAGAUUGUAGGGGUUUCGGUUGAUGACAAGUGCAAUAUGAGCAAGCAGUGACUGCACAGCUGUAAAACAUUAAAGCAAAGUUAGAUUGCACUAAAAGAUUCAUGCGGAGUGUCCUCAACAUAAGAAAUAAUAGUAUCAUGUUCCACGCAGACCGUACAUGGAAUAUUGUUCUGAGUACUAGGGUACAUAAACCAAAACCAGUUGCAGUCAAGUGGAUUCCAACUCGUAGCAACCCUAUAGCACAGAAUAUAACUGCCCCACAGGGUUUCCAAGGCGGUAAAUCUUUAUGGAAGUAGACUGCCACAUCUUUCUCCUAGGUGCUUUCUACUGGUGAGUUCAAACCACCAACCUUUCAGUUAGCAGCCAGUGGCUUAACCACUGCACCACCAGGGCUUCUUAACAGGGUACAUAGAAUAGUGAAAAACUAAAAUAUAUGAAGGAAAAGAUGAUCAAGAUGAUGGAGAUUCUAGAAAUAAUGGUAUUUGACAAGUGGUUCUAGGAAUUGUCUUUUUAUUUCUAGAAGACAGAAGAGUUAUAAUAUUUGCUUUUAAAUAAUUAAAAGUCUUUUAUAUGGGAAAGAAAACAGACUCAACUAGAGAACACAGGUGGAAGUUACAGAAAUGCAGAUUUGCACUUUCUAGUAAAGAAUACGGAAACCCUGGUGGUGUAGUGGUUAAGUGCUAUGGCUGCUAACCAAGAGGUCGGCAGUUCAAAUCCGCGAGGCGCUCCUUGGAAACUCUAUGGGGCGGUUCUACUCUGUCCUGUAGGGUCACUAUGAAUCGGAAUUGACUCGACAGCAGUGGGUUUGUUUCUUUUUUGUUGUUGUUGUUUAGUAAAGAAUACAGAGCAGUGCAGAGGCAAUGGCUGCUGGAGGAAGCCUGAGCCCCCUUCUCUGGUUGAAGGGACUUAUUGCAGCAUGGCCACUUACUGACUGCAUAACUCUGGGUGAGUUACUGUGAGCCUUAGUUUCUUCAUCUGUAAGAUGAUGCCAUUGAGUAAUUCAAAGCAUUAUUGAAAAGAUUGAAUGAGAUAGUUUGCAAAAUGCCAGGCACAUAGUAGAAAAAUGUUCAUUCCCUUUCUUUUAAUUCCAAGUUGUGAAUAAACUGUUUUUUUUUUUUUUGCAUGAAAGAGGAUAUAUAACUUAUCUCAUUUGAAAUUUAAUAAAGAUGACAUCACUCCUAGUUUCUUUUUGGCACUAUAUUCUCCUACUUAAAAUAUGAAUGCAGCUUUUUGAUGUUUAGUUGAAUUUUUGAGUGCUCAAACUGCCCCAAAUAGAUGGUAUUAAAGUAGAAAAUAAAAGUAAAGAAAACCCUAGCCAUGAUAGAGGAAACACCCAGCAAAUAGUACUGCUUUUGCUUUUACUGUCAUUUGAAAAUAUAGUUUUUCCAAAAUGAGACUAAAGGGCCACACCAGCCCACGGGCAAGGACUAGAAGGCAGGAGGGGACAGGAAAGCUGUAACAGGAAACCCAGGCUGAGAAAGGAAAGUGUUGAUAUGUCAUGGUGUUGUUCAUCAGUGUCAUAAAACAAUAUGUGUACUGUUUAAUGAGAAGCUAGCUCUGUAAACAUCUAAAGUACAAUAAAAAUAAAAACAAGGAAAAAAACUACUCAAAACAUUUUUUAAAAAUCCAGUUUUUCUUCCAUGUUAAAGUUUAGUUGCCUUAAAUUGUGCUUCAGUGGUGUAGCAUAGAAUAAAACAAACCCUUGUGCUAGGUAUUCAGGUGAUUUCAUAAUUUGAUUUUACAGAAUCACCAAUUUCAAUUUAAUGCGAUUUUAGAAAAUAUGCUCUUUAAAAAGAAAUGAUCAGAACAUCAAUGAAAUGUCUCACAGCCCUCCUGAAAUUCUUCGUGAUACAGCAAUGAAAGCACUGUGUUAUGCCAGCCAUGCAUUUUGGAACAGUUUUUUUUUUUUUAGCAAUUAGAACUUUAAGUUGAUACUCCUUUGUCUUGAAAUCUGUGUUUUGCUUUUUUUUUUUUUUUGGCCAUAAACUGUUUUGGUUUAAAUAAAAUAUUACUUUAGAUGGUACAUUAGAGCCUCUAGGGACAAGGGAGACUGUAAUAGCCCAUUAUAUUUUAUUCUAAAAUGGAAUUUAAUCUUGCAGAAAGCUUCAAAAAGUAGAAUAAAUUAGUCAUAAAAUUUACUGUAUUUCAAACGUGUAUAAUAUCUUUCUCUUAUAUAUUAAUGAAACCAUAAUUUUUCCCUCAUUUAGGUAUAUAAGGUGAGUUUUUAUUAUCAAAUGAGACGUUUAAUUUGUAGGAAUCAAAAGAAAGGUUUAGAUUUUCUCUGUGGUAGAAGGUGAAGGGGAAAGGGCUCUGUAUUCAAGAGUCAGAGGCCUGUGUUCCAGUUCCUAUUCUUCCACUGCCUCACUUUCCUGUAUUAUUAGUCAAGUCACUUAGCUUAAUUGGGCCCUAGUGUACAGGAGAGGUUGAACUAGGUCAGAGUUUUUUUUGUUUUGUUUUUUGUACAUUAGGGUCUUCAGAGCUUGUAGGGAUUGAGGAAGAAAAAGCCAAGGGGGUGUUCCUUCACACACACACACACACACACAAACACACACACACACACAUUAAAACACUCACUGUAACCUGAGUUCAUCUAUUUAAAUUGGAAUUCUACAUAAAAUUUCAUCUGAAAGAAAUCUGUCACAUUUACCGAAAUAAUAAUAAGUUUUACAUCUGAUAGAUUAUCUCUGAUUCCCAGUCCAGUUCUGAAAUGUAGUAUGCCUCUGCACCAUACCCUCAUGACUUGAAAGUGUAAUGAAGGACAGAUAAAACUAUGAAUCAGAAGACUUGUGUUCUAGCUUAGGUUAUGGUAAGAACUGCCUGAGCAAACAAUAGCCUCUGAGUUAGUUGGACUAAGUGUUCUUUAUAAAACUUCCUGUUUUCUAAUCUUUGGCUCCAGGCUAUCAAAGACCUGGUUUGUGUAGAACUAUAUAUAUUGAAUUGCAACCUAUUUCUUAAACACAUGUUGGCAAACUGAGGUUCAGUGUUGAUGAUAAUCUAUAACCUUCGUGUGCACAAGUGUUGUCCAGCAUCUUUACAGAAGAGCUGAUGCCACUUUAGCUUUGACUUUCAAUUUUCAGUUACUCUAAUAGAAUAUUGGUAUAAUUGAUCUGAAAUAGAUCAUUUAAAAAUACUCUAAGUUUUAUUUUUAGAAUUACUUACAUGAUGUUUAGGAAACCAGAGUUGUAUUUAAAAUGAUUGUUUACUUGGGUUUAUAUUUAAAUUAUCCCUAUAAACUGACUAUACAAGCUAACCACACAGGCAAAAGUGGCCUGGAAAUUCACAGACUAAGUGGUUCAUAUGUGAAUCCCUGAAGAAGAAAAGUACUCAUUAGUAUUUUAUUUUUCAAAAUGUUCUAAAUUUCAAGAAUUAUUUUUGAGUUUAUGUUUUUUGACUACUAUACAAAUUCUGUUAAAAGGAGCUGACUAGACAAAAUUCGCUAAAUUACAGGAAAAUAGCUACUGAAGGACAGGUGGCAAUAUUAAGUUUUUCUACAAGGAGAAUCCCUACUAACCAAAGAACUUAACAAUGUCUCCUCAAAGUAUGGCCAUGGGAUAAUGCUGAAGGAAUGAUAUUUUAAGAGAAAGUAAUUCGUUAAGUCAGUCUGAACAUAGCUGGAACAGGGGAGAGCACAGCAAGUAUUGUCACCAAAUAGAGCCAAACAAAAAGUUCCAUAGAGAGUUGGGUCAGUAUUUAGGCCCUAGAGGCAGAGGCAGAAGAAGAAAUGUCCAGAAAGAAAAGUGGGGAAGGGUGCCAAAACUAAACUUACAGAAUUUCAUAUUCUUCCCCAGGUUGCCCUAGACCUUAGGAAUAGGAAGCCUCCUUUCCUCUUACUUUGCCUAGUCCAACUUGGCACUAUCAGAGUUUUGGGCCCAGUAAUUCUUUCUUGUAGGAGGCUGUUCUGUGCAUUACAGGAUGUGUAUCAGCAUCCUUGGUCUCUACCCACUAGAUGCCAGUAGCACCCCCACUUGUGACAGCCAAAAAUGUCUCUCACCACCCCUACCCCAUUGCCAUUAAAUCGAUUCCAACUCAUAGCGACCCUGUAGAACAGCGUAGAACUGCCCCACAGAGUUUCCAAGGAGUUCCUGGUGGAUUCGAACUGCUGAGCUUUUGGUUAGCAGCCAUAGCUCUUAACCGCUAUGCCACCAGGGUUUCCAAAAUGUCUCUAGAUGCCCCAUUUAUAAAUAAGUCAUGUUACAAAAGCUCAUUGCAGAUUGGCCACUUGGAAUCUGGAACACACUUCAGUCGGAGGUAUGAAACAUACCUAAACAGAGGUCAGGUUCUCUGUUCUGCAAAUAGUAAGAUGAAGCAUAGCUAAGUAUACAAAGCAGAACUCUAAGGAAGGGGCUAAAUCUGUGGUUCUCACCUGGGGUGAUUUUGCCUCACAUAGGAAUUUUGUUGCCGUAUGCCCUCUGUGAGGCAAAAUCGCCCCCAGGUGAGAACCACAGAUCUAGCCCGUUCCUUACAGUUCUGGUUUGUACACUUAGCUGUGCUUCAUCUUACUAAGUUCUACUGUUUGCAGAACAGAGAACCCGACCUCUGUUUAAGUAUGUUUCCCACCUCCGACUGAAGCGUGUUCCAGAUUCCAAGUGGCUGAUUUGCAAUGAGCUUUUGUAACCCAGCUUAUUGGUAAAUGGGGAAAUUUGUGAUUGCCUGUGUUUGUGCUCACUCCAGAUACAGUGAGCACUAAUGACAGUGUAGCUGUAGCUUGUCAAAUGCAUUUUAUAGAUGAAGUUGUGUAUCUCCUCUUUGCACUGGUGCUGUAUAUAUAUACAUAUAACUUGGUUCAUGCUUGAUAUCACAAUGAUGAUUGCAUUUUGAAAUUUUGCAUUAAAAGGAGCAAUAAACUAGUGAAUAUUGGAAUAAAAAAAGGACACGUUUUCAAUAUUAUUUGGUAUUUUAAAACCAGGUUUUAUCUGAUAACAACAUGGUUUAGGUGAGCAAAAAUCUGAGUUCCAAUAAAAUGGUUCUAAAUCUCAAAAGCUUAUGUGAGGAUGACAUUGGCUGGUUUCAAUUUAUGAAGUUAUUACAAGCAUUUUUAAGAAACCUGGCCUGAGAGCCAUUAAGCAAAAUCCUCCUGGUCCUGUCUCUGCCACUCAUGAACUCUGUGGCCUUGGGCAAAUCAUUUACCUCUCUGAAUUUUCAGAUUGCUCAUCUCUAAGAUUUAGGGGGAUGUAAUAAAAGGUCUUCAAAGACUGUUUCAACUCCUAAAGUAGUGUCAGAUUUUAAAAAUACGCUUGUGGACACAUGAACUUUAUUUAUUUAUUUGAGUUUUAAAUCAUACAGAGUACUGAAAUCUAAAGGAAGAAGAUAGGCUAGGAAGAGGAAGAAGAUAGGCUAGGAUGAGGAACAAGAUGUAAAUAUUAUUCAAAGAAGACUCAAGAUAAAAUAAACUGAUUUAUAAAUUGAUCUGGCUGUUACACUAAACAGGAAAAGAGACUCGUUAGAUGCUAAAAAUUGCUAGCUAUAGACUCUAAAGAAGUGGUUGUUGUGGGCAACAAGGUUUGCCCUCAACUGCUCUGCAGAAGGAAUAUUUAAAAGUUGAAAAGACACAAGUUGUGUCUUUGACAGUAACCAAAAACCAGGCCGUCAGAAUCAUCUUUUUGGCUUCCACUUUAAGAAGAUUGUGAAGACAUCAAAUAAUGUGAAAAAUCUCAUGGUCAGUCAUCUCUAUAAAGCCAUUUAAUUGAUUCUAAAUAGUACGCUCUGUGAAUAUUUUAAACAUGGUAGAGACAGCUUUUCAAAUAGUAGUGUCCUACACUGCGUUUUUUUUUUGUUUGUUGUUUUUUUAAUAUAAACCCAGGUUGCUCGCUGAGCAGAUGCUGUGUCCCACCUCACAGUGUAUGUUAUUGGUAGUGUAUGGAUUUUUAGAUGUCCUCUAGCCAGUUUUACAGCUGGGGGUGGAGAAAAACAACAUUCCAUUCUAAUUCCUGAAAUAAUUACCUCAUCUCCUGUAUACCAAAUAUAUUUUCAUUCUUCACAGUUAAUAUGCAGAGCUUCAGGUAUUGUCAUUUGUCAUAAAAUUAAAUAGCUCCUUUUCAAAUGUAGCUAUAAUAUUUGGUGAUUACCAUUCAGAACAGUGACCAGAAUAAUAAAAAACAAACCUCUUCUUUCCUGAACACUUUUGCAUUCUUCUUGCAUCUUAAUUGCUUUGCUAAAUUACAGACUCAAUAGCUGAUUCUUCUAAACAUUUUGAGAUUGAUUGAUAAGGAAAAGGGCGUAGGGAAAGAAAGUUAAUUUGGAAUUUUGUCUCUAAAAUGUAGCUAUUAAAUCAUACCAGUUAUUUGUCAGAUUUCACCAUUCUCUUAUUUUGGAAGCGAUGGUCUCCUGAGAGUGAUCAUUCAUUUUUUACUAUUAGCUUAUUCCUUUUACAGGCAGACUGAGGUUUAAGUGUUUGAAUCCAAAGCCUAAGUUUGCCUGAGAAGUAUUAGGACAAAGUCACAAAGCAUGCCUGGGCUUCAGUUUCCUUUAUAUGAAGUGGAAAUAAUAGUUCUUUUUAAGAAUACUGUAGAGGAUGCUUAGUAACGAGAGUUAUAUCUAUGCAGAAUAUUAAAUAUCACUGCCAAAUAACAGGAUUUGAUCAGAUUAUUUUAGCAUCUUUCUACUUCCAUCAGGCAAAAUUGCAGUAGAUGGAUCUGUAAAAAUUUAAGAAUAGAUCUCAGCCUUUCAUAUAAUUUUCUAUGCUAUUAAUAGGGUCAAAGGGAAGAAGAUUCAAAGAUAAAGUGAGGAGGAGGAAGAAAUAGGGUGAAUUUGUAAAAUCAUGCAAAUUAUCGUGCUCUGAAAAUUCAGUUGGAAUUUAAACUCAGUACUUAGUGAAAUAGAUGAUGUCUCUUCCAUAAACGAAAUUGAGAGCCAAAUUUUUUUUUUUUUUUCUGUUUCUAAAGGAAGUAUACUUAUAGCUGCAUUAAUUUAAAAACACCAGAAUAACAGGGUGGCAGCACUCAGUAAGAAACCAGCGUGGCUUUUGGCUACAUUUCUGUUGCUUCUAAGUCCGUUUCAAAUAUUAUAAUUAACUGUACUCUUUCUGCUGUUUAAUCUACUUACCCUAAUUUUCUCAUGCUAUUCCUUAAGCUGGUAGAUCACCCCCUCAGUAAGAAAAAAAGGAAGAAAAUAGUUUUGUGUCUUAACUGUGGUUAUCUUUCCGUGUUGCAUGAAGCUUUCUUUACAUGUAAUUUGUAUUUUUCCCUUUCAUCCCAACCCAUUAUUUUUUCCUGUCUCUAGAUAAAAGAUUCUUAAGGAUGUUGGAGUUUUCAUCAGUUAAGGACAUACAGCUGCCUCUUCAGCCUCUUUUCCAUAUCUUAUUAAAAUCCGUUUCCAUGAUAACCCAAAAACCCUGUGCCGUCGAGUCGAUUCCGACUCAUAGCGACCCUAUAGGAAGGACAGAGUAGAAUUGCCCCAUAGAGUUGCCAAGGGAUAGAUAUCUAGAAAUAUUUAGAAGCCCAAAUAUUCAAGAUUUUUAUGAUAACAGUUGCUUUUCUGUGUUUUUACGACAUUGUGUCAGAUCAUUUGAUGAGAUAGUCUUGUUAUUAUUUGGAGAUAGUUUCUUUUUCUGGAAUUAAAUUUGAUUCUUUUCUUAUCACUAGAAAUUUCAUUCUUCUAUUACCAUAGACCAAAAAAGUUUCAAUGCUGUCCCUGCCUUUUUUUUCCUUCUCCUGCCUUCCACUGUUGUAAAAGUUGACAGAUGUGAAUCCCAGAGCAGCUUAAUAGGGUAUAUCAUAAAAGGUACUGGACUUAGUAAACUUGGAGCUGUGUUGAACAUGCUAAAUCACUGCUGUUUGC